UAAAUUGUAGUUAAAUAAGAUUUAAUAAAAUAUUUAGCACAACCAAAUCUUGACAAAAAUAAUACUCUUAUUUAUUUUGUCUAAGUUAAAUCAUGACUAAUCUCCCGAGUAUCUUCAAAAUUUAGAAAUUUAUAUAAUCAUGAACAAAUUAGUAAUUAAAUUAUUUUAGUCAACCGUUUGAAUGGCAUUGUUGUAAAUAAUAGAAGUCUU
rnacentral:lncRNA from 1 species